CAACAACGGAUCUCUUGGUUCCGGCAUCGAUGAAGAACGCAGCGAAAUGCGAUAAGUAGUGUGAAUUGCAGAAUUCCGUGAAUCAUCGAAUCUUUGAACGCACAUUGCGCCCCCUGGUAUUCCGGGGGGCAUGCCUGUCCGAGCGUCAUUG
rnacentral:rRNA from 1 species